GAUAAACGCUGGCGGUGUACAUAAGACAUGCAAGUCGAACGGGAGAAGACAGGAAGAUUUAUCUACUUGUUGGACACCGUGGCGGACGGGUGAGUAACACGUAAGCAACCUGCCUAUAAGAGGGGAAUAACAGUGAGAAAUUACUGAUAAUACCGCAUAAGCUGGAGGUAUCGCAUGAUACAUUCAGAAAAGAUUUAUCGCUUAUAGAUGGGCUUGCGUCUGAUUAGCUAGUUGGUGAGAUAACAGCUCACCAAGGCGACGAUCAGUAGCCGGAUUGAGAGGUUGAACGGCCACAUUGGGACUGAGACACGGCCCAGACUCCUACGGGAGGCAGCAGUCGGGAAUAUUGCACAAUGGAGGAAACUCUGAUGCAGUGACACCGCGUAUAGGAAGAAGGUCUUAGGAUUGUAAGCUAUUGUCGUGUGAGAAGAAAAUGACCAUCACAGGAGGAAG
rnacentral:rRNA from 1 species